rnacentral:rRNA from 1 species
UACGGGGGGGGUAAGCGUUGUUCGGAAUUACUGGGCGUAAAGGGCUCGUAGGCGGCCAACUAAGUCGGACGUGAAAUCCCUCAGCUUAACUGGGGAACUGCGUCCGAUACUGGAUGGCUUGGAUUUGGGAGAGGGAUGCGGAAUUCCAGGUGUAGCGGUGAAAUGCGUAGAUAUCUGGAGGAACACCGGUGGCGAAGGCGGCGUUCUGGACUGCAACUGACACUGAGGAACGAAAGCCAGGGGAGCAAACGGG